AGAGUUUGAUCCUGGCUCAGAUUGAACGCUAGCGGGAUGCUUUACACAUGCAAGUCGAACGGCAGCACGAAGAGCUUGCUCUUUGGUGGCGAGUGGCGAACGGGUGAGUAAUGUAUCGGAACGUGCCCAGUAGCGGGGGAUAACUACGCGAAAGCGUGGCUAAUACCGCAUACGCCCUACGGGGGAAAGGGGGGGAUCGCAAGACCUCUCACUAUUGGAGCGGCCGAUAUCGGAUUAGCUGGUUGGUGGGGUAAAGGCCUACCAAGGCGACGAUCCGUAGCUGGUUUGAGAGGACGACCAGCCACACUGGGACUGAGACACGGCCCAGACUCCUACGGGAGGCAGCAGUGGGGAAUUUUGGACAAUGGGGGCAACCCUGAUCCAGCCAUCCCGCGUGUGCGAUGAAGGCCUUCGGGUUGUAAAGCACUUUUGGCAGGGAAGAAACGGCGCGGGCUAAUAACCUGUGCUAAUGACGGUACCUGCAGAAUAAGCACCGGCUAACUACGUGCCAGCAGCCGCGGUAAUACGUAGGGUGCAAGCGUUAAUCGGAAUUACUGGGCGUAAAGCGUGCGCAGGCGGUUCGGAAAGAAAGGUGUGAAAUCCCAGGGCUUA
rnacentral:rRNA from 1 species